rnacentral:rRNA from 1 species
GUCACACUAUCAUUAACUGAAUCCAUAGGUUAAUGAGGCGAACCGGGGGAACUGAAACAUCUAAGUACCCCGAGGAAAAGAAAUCAACCGAGAUUCCCCCAGUAGCGGCGAGCGAACGGGGAGGAGCCCAGAGCCUGAAUCAGCAUGUGUGUUAGUGGAAGCGUCUGGAAAGGCGCGCGAUACAGGGUGACAGCCCCGUACACAAAAGCGCAUGUGCUGUGAGCUCGAUGAGUAGGGCGGGACACGUGGUAUCCUGUCUGAAUAUGGGGGGACCAUCCUCCAAGGCUAAAUACUCCUGACUGACCGAUAGUGAACCAGUACCGUGAGGGAAAGGCGAAAAGAACCCCGGCGAGGGGAGUGAAAAAGAACCUGAAACCGUGUACGUACAAGCAGUGGGAGCCCCACCACCAAAGCAUUCUCUGGUGUUGAAGGCCCUGCAAAGCAGCAUCGCGGUGGCGGAGCGUCGUUUGCGACGCCCGACACACAAAACAAGCGGUGAGUGCUUUGGGGUGGGGUGACUGCGUACCUUUUGUAUAAUGGGUCAGCGACUUAUAUUCUGUAGCAAGGUUAACCGUAUAGGGGAGCCGGAGGGAAACCGAGUCUUAAUUGGGCGUUAAGUUGCAGGGUAUAGACCCGAAACCCGGUGAUCUAGCCAUGGGCAGGUUGAAGGUUGGGUAACACUAACUGGAGGACCGAACCGACUAAUGUUGAAAAAUUAGCGGAUGACCUGUGGCUGGGGGUGAAAGGCCAAUCAAACCGGGAGAUAGCUGGUUCUCCCCGAAAGCUAUUUAGGUAGCGCCUCGUGAAUUCAUCUCCGGGGGUAGAGCACUGUUUCGGCUAGGGGGUCAUCCCGACUUACCAACCCGAUGCAAACUGCGAAUACCGGAGAAUGUUAUCACGGGAGACACACGGCGGGUGCUAACGUCCGUCGUGAAGAGGGAAACAACCCAGACCGCCAGCUAAGGUCCCAAAGUCAUGGUUAAGUGGGAAACGAUGUGGGAAGGCCCAGACAGCCAGGAUGUUGGCUUAGAAGCAGCCAUCAUUUAAAGAAAGCGUAAUAGCUCACUGGUCGAGUCGGCCUGCGCGGAAGAUGUAACGGGGCUAAACCAUGCACCGAAGCUGCGGCAGCGACACUGUGUGUUGUUGGGUAGGGGAGCGUUCUGUAAGCCUGUGAAGGUGGCCUGUGAGGGUUGCUGGAGGUAUCAGAAGUGCGAAUGCUGACAUAAGUAACGAUAAAGCGGGUGAAAAGCCCGCUCGCCGGAAGACCAAGGGUUCCUGUCCAACGUUAAUCGGGGCAGGGUGAGUCGACCCCUAAGGCGAGGCCGAAAGGCGUAGUCGAUGGGAAACGGGUUAAUAUUCCCGUACUUGGUGUUACUGCGAAGGGGGGACGGAGAAGGCUAUGUUGGCCGGGCGACGGUUGUCCCGGUUUAAGCGUGUAGGUGUGUGUUCCAGGUAAAUCCGGUUCA